GCGAAAACUUUACAAUGCUGGCAACAGCGAUAAGGGAACCUCGAGUGCCAGGUUACAAAUCUGGCUGUCGAGAUGCCUAAAAAGCAUUUCAUAGCAAGGGCCGGGCAAGACCGGUGCCAGCCGCCGCGGUAACACCGGCGGCUCGAGUGGUAACCGUUAUUAUUGGGUCUAAAGGGUCUGUAGCCGGCCGGAUAAGCCUCUUGAGAAAUCUGGCAGCCUAACUGUCAGGCUUUCAGGAGAUACUGUCUGGCUCGAGGCCGGGAGAGGUGAGAGGUACUUCAGGGGUAGGGGUGAAAUCUUGUAAUCCUUGAAGGACCACCAGUGGCGAAGGCGUCUCACCAGAACGGACCUGACGGCAAGGGACGAAAGCUAGGGGCACGAACC
rnacentral:rRNA from 1 species